UGUUUCUGUUCUGAAGUUUUCACUCACUGGAAGCUGGACGACAAAGUCAUAUACUUGAAGAUGUCUUUGAGGAAGAGGGACCUAAACCUGAAGAGCACGGGAAGGCCACCAGUGACGCAACCGCAAAGAUUACUCCAGAAAAUCUACCCCGGCCGGCCAUGAACUGGUUUUUGUCUCAAUGAAUGGCUCAUGAAAAGGAGAAGCAACAAGUGCUAAUCUGGGAUCGAUCUAAACUAUGACCUAAAGCCUGGCUUGCUAUUUAGGUUUUUUCUUUAAAAGGGAAAGGAAAAUUGAUUCCUAGGUUUACUGUAAGCCUACAAUAAUGCAUCUCUUAUGAGUGUGCAAAAUUAGCGUAUGAAUUUGAUUUUUUAUUA